CAGCAUCGGUUGCCGACAGGAAAGGGGCCAUCUUGGCCCCUUUUUCGUGGGCGGUGGUGUAGCCGUGCGGCUCGUGAAGGAACGCCGCGGGACCGCUCCUUUGCCCGAAGCCUUUCCGGAGCUUGCUGCCAAAGGAACCGCAUCGCCGCCAAUCUCGCACUUGCACAAACUUAUAUUGCACUGCAGUAUGGGUCGGGGCGGGAAUGCGAGCCGGGUUCGGACAUGUACCGCCGUGCCCUUUCGCAUGCCAAUGCGAAGGGAUCGGC
rnacentral:ncRNA from 19 species